AACGAACGCUGGCGGCAUGCCUAACACAUGCGAGUCGAACGAGACCUUCGGGUCUAGUGGCGCACGGGUGCGUAACGCGUGGGAACCUGCCCUUAGAUUCGGAAUAACUCCCCGAAAGGGGUGCUAAUACCGGAUAAUGUCUUCGGACCAAAGAUUUAUCGCCUUUGGAUGGGCCCGCGUUGGAUUAGCUAGUUGGUAGGGUAAAAGCCUACCAAGGCGACGAUCCAUAGCUGGUCUGAGAGGAUGAUCAGCCACACUGGGACUGAGACACGGCCCAGACUCCUACGGGAGGCAGCAGUGGGGAAUAUUGGACAAUGGGCGAAAGCCUGAUCCAGCAAUGCCGCGUGAGUGAUGAAGGCCUUAGGGUUGUAAAGCUCUUUUACCCGGGAUGAUAAUGACAGUACCGGGAGAAUAAGCUCCGGCUAACUCCGUG
rnacentral:rRNA from 1 species